rnacentral:rRNA from 1 species
AGAGUUGAUCAGUGGCUCAGGACGAACGCUGGCGGCGUGCCUAAUACAUGCAAGUCGAACGGUCUUUCUAUGGAAGCUUGCUUCCACUGAAAAGAUAGUGGCGAACGGGUGAGUAACACGUGGGUAACCUGCCCAUAAGAGGGGGAUAACAUCCGGAAACGGGUGCUAAUACCGCAUAGUUUUCUUGAUCGCAUGAUUGAGAAAGGAAAGACGGCCUUUGUGCUGUCGCUUAUGGAUGGACCCGCGGCGUAUUAGUUAGUUGGUGAGGUAACGGCUCACCAGGGCGACGAUGCGUAGCCGACCUGAGAGGGUGAUCGGCCACAUUGGGACUGAGACACGGCCCAGACUCCUACGGGAGGCAGCAGUGGGGAAUAUUGCACAAUGGGGGAAACCCUGAUGCAGCCAACGCCGCGUGAGUGAUGACGGCCUUCGGGUUGUAAAGCUCUGUCUUCAGGGACGAUAAUGACGGUACCUGAGGAGGAAGCCACAGCUAACUACGUGCCAGCCGCAGC